CAAAGCCCUUUUUCGCAAGCUGCAGAACCCAAGGACUGACGAAGCCAUGUUCCUUCUAGUGACUCAGGCUGAAACCUUUUUAGAACAAUUCGUUAGUCAAUCUCAGCUCCUAACCAGGACUAGCAGCCUCUUGACAUCUCUGCUCGCCACCCAGCAACACCAUUUCGAGCAAGCUAAUAGUUGCAAUGCAGAGGUCACAACUAUCAAGGCUGCCUCUGAUGAAGCUCUUGAGCAACUUGUGGCUUGUGAGAAUAAUAUUGCUCAAUGGCAAUCUGAAAUCGAAGCGCUAAAGG
rnacentral:lncRNA from 1 species